rfam:Ailuropoda melanoleuca scaffold991_11, whole genome shotgun sequence.
GUCUGCGGCCAUACCACCCAGAAUGCACCUGCUCCGGUCUGAUCCCAGAAGCGAGGCAGGGCCGGCCGGGUUAGUACUUGGAAGGGACACUGCCUGCUUAUCCGAGUAACUCGUGCUCUUUCU